UCAUAGCGGUCAGGCUUGUAGGCCCGCCCUCUUGCAUAGGGCCGGUUUCCAACCCGGCCGGCCUCUGUGGUGCUGACCGCGGCCUUGGC
rnacentral:tRNA from 1 species